UACGGGGGGGGCAAGCGUUGUUCGGAAUUACUGGGCGUAAAGGGCUCGUAGGCGGCCAACUAAGUCAGACGUGAAAUCCCUCGGCUUAACCGGGGAACUGCGUCUGAUACUGGAUGGCUAGAGGUUGGGAGAGGGAUGCGGAAUUCCAGGUGUAGCGGUGAAAUGCGUAGAUAUCUGGAGGAAUACCGGUGGCGAAGGCGGCAUCCUGGACCGACAUUGACGCUGAGGAGCGAAAGCUAGGGGAGCAAACGGG
rnacentral:rRNA from 1 species